rnacentral:lncRNA from 10 species
UGCUUGCUUUAUGAGCUGAAAACUCAGAAAAGAGGAGAAUGAGCCUGGCUCAGACAGCCUGCCAUGGAUGGGCCAGAGGACUAGACCACCACAGGCCUGAGUGUGUCCUCAUUCCUGCCCUCUCCCAGGACUUAGAACUUUCUCUUUCCAGGAGUGCAGGAGUACUCAGACUGAACCUGAAUUUUAUGCUGCAGCUCAGACCUCUGAUUUCAUGGAUCGCUUAUGACUGGGCUUGGGGGAUUAGACUUUUAAGAGGAGGCUCAAGCUGAGACCAGACUUUGAAGUGACAAAGUUCACCAGCAAGUUGGCUAUAGGAGCACUGGCUGGGGCAGCAUGAAUGGCUCUAUGUUGCCCUCCCCAUCACAGUGGUCAAAAAUCAGUGCUCACAGCUAUGGCAAAGGUUGAGGGAGGGAGUCUACACCCUUGGUAGUGGGGAGCUGAUAGCACAGCCUCCUUGAGGCACAUAUAGGGGUCACCUGGUGAUCUGGGCAGUGACUGAGUCAUCCUUGCAGCCACUGGGCCUGGAACAUCCAGUCCCCACUGGUGGACAGGCACUUAUUUGGACCAUGUGCCUGUCUGCCUAUGUCUGAUGUGAUCUCCUUCAGGGGCCUAUGUUUGCCUGCAGCACGGAGGCCCUGCAGACGUGGGCUGAGGAGGGGUAAGGGAGGACCCUUGAAAUCUAUGGCUCCUGUAUUCGUCCCUUCUCACAAUGCUGUAAAGAAAUGUGGGGACUAACAAGAGCGAUGCCAUUUCUCUACAUUGGUGACUGUGUUUUCUACCUUGGUGACGGUGUUCCCAGAAACAAAGCAGGUGUCAACCUUGCCCAUACUUUUAAUAGAGCAUAACAACCCUAACCACAACAGAGCCUGAUGGCCCUUACCACAUCCUUCUCCAGCCCCCAACAGUUCCAACCUGCCAGCACUUACGCAAACCCUCCCCUAUAGAAACUUUAUUAUAAAAACCUCAGUUUCUAAGUGACAGGGUCUCAGCCACAUUCCUGACUGGGACCCCUCACAGGCUUAUUCUUGUAAAUAAACCUGUUUGGCCAUCAAGUUGCCUUCUUUCUCUCUUCCUUCAUAUUUUCCUAACAAGAACUACCUGAGACUGGGUAAUUUAUGAAGA